UUUUGAUUAAAAAGUCAGAUGCAUUGUUCAGCCCCAGUAUCAAUCUCGUCAAGAAAGCUAAUACGUGUAUUUCCCAAAACGUCCAACUAUUCCUUGAAGUUUGACUUAAAGAUGGGACAUUAUCUGUUGAUGCUGAGCUCACUGUG